UCAGUCGACUCCUACGGGGAGGCAGCAGUGGGGGAAUAUUGCACAAUGGGCGCAAGCCUGAUGCAGCCAUGCCGCGUGUAUGAAGAAGGCCUUCGGGGUUGUAAAGGUACUUUCAGCAGUGAGGAAGGCGGAGUCGUUAAUAGCGGCCUCGUUUGACGUUAGCUGCAGAAGAAGCACCGGCUAACUCCGUGCCAGCAGCCGCGGUAAUACGGAGGGUGCGAGCGUUAAUCGGAAUUACUGGGCGUAAAGCGCAUGCAGGUGGUUUGUUAAGUCAGAUGUGAAAGCCCGGGGCUCAACCUCGGAAUUGCAUUUGAAACUGGCAGACUAGAGUACUGUAGAGGGGGGUAGGAAUUUCAGGUGUAGCGGUGAAAUGCGUAGAGAUCUGAAGGAAUACCGGUGGCGAAGGCGGCCCCCUGGACAGAUACUGACACUCAGAUGCGAAAGCGUGGGGAGCAAACAGGAUUAGAUACCCUGGUAG
rnacentral:rRNA from 1 species